CAAUAAUAAUGGCUGAGGAGGAGGAGGAGAAGGAAGAGGGAGGGAUGUACACCUUUCAUAGGAAGCUCAGUCACAGCAAACAGGAGUCACUGAGGAGCUCUGUGCCUUGUCUUCAGAGGCCGUGGUGCUGAGUGAGUCUCCGAGGCUGUGUCUGGUGUGUGACGAGCAGGUGGAGCAACACGCAGCCUUACGGAAGGAGUGGUAUGGGUGACGCAGAGGCUCUCACUCAGGUGGUGCUGCCCGUGGCCUACCAGUUCAACCCACAGCUGGUCCUGGUCACUGCCAGCCUUGAUGCUGGUGCGGGGACCCACUUGGAGGUUGCCGGGUGAGUCCCGAUUGCUUUGGACAUAUGAUGGCCCUUCUGUCUGGCCUGGCCGAGGGCCGCAUGGUUCUGGCACUGGAGGGCGGCUUCAACCUCACCACCAUCAGCUGCUGCAUGACGCUGUGUGCCAAGGCCUUGCUGGGGGACCCGCUGCCCCCCCCUUGAGCCCCAGCUGGUGCCCAACAAGAGUGCCGUGCAGACCAUCAAUGACGUCAUCCGUACCCACAGCCGCUACUGGCCGGCGCUCUGCUUCAAGGUGAGUGUGGGGGUCUUUAAUCCGACCACUGCAAUUGGCACGGAUUUGGCCUUCACUGGUAGCCUGGUAACAUACAGUCCCAGGUCUUUCUCUGCCUCUGUGGUGAUAGUGGAGUGUUUCCCAUGUGGUAUUGGUGUGCUGGAUAUCCCCUCCCAAGGUGCAGGACUUUACAUUUUUGUUCAGUGAAUUGUAGCAGACACUUUUUGUUCCAUUGCUGUAGCUUGGUGAGGUCUUCUUGUAGGAAAUCCAGUCAAGGGGUUAAGGGGCAGGACUGGUGAAAGUUAUCCCUCAUGUCCUGCUGGUGUGUUCUGUGCCUGGUAGUGUUGUCAGUACAUAAUAUAGAAAGCUGCCUCAUUUCCAGAACUAUAUAUUGGACAUGUAUUAGUUAGAUCUCUCAAAACAUUUCUUCAGUUCUCAGUGGCAAUAGUUAUUGUUGUUGUCAGACAGUAAGAAGCAAAACACAUUAUCCUCUCUAUGUUUUGCAGUCUUUUCUUGUGGUUUGAGUCCUUGUGGUGCCUGACCCUGGGCAAGGUUACUUUCUUUACUGCCCUCACACUGCUCCUUGCCUCCCUGGAGCAGAGUCAGGGAGAGGUUGUCUACAUCUACCAUCAGUAUAACAGUCUUGGUGAUUAGUAGAAGAUAAUAGAAGGAAUAGAAGGUUAAUUUUGAUUUAUAUUAGUUUUUUUCAUAAUAUCUCUUCUUCCUUCUCCUCCUCCUCUCUCUCAUUCUUCCUCCCUCUCUCUUCCUUUCUUCCUCCCUUUCCCUCUCCUCUGUCUCUGCCUUCAUUACAUUCUUCACCCAUUCCUCCUCUCCUCUCCCCUCCAGGAUUUAUACCUCAUCCAAAUCUCUCCUUAUA